GUGACCAGCUGGAACAUUAAAGGAGUUUAACCUCUGUACUUCCAAUGGGGAGGAAUUGGAAUCAGCCUAUGGGAGAAGAGAUAGCUCUAGGAUUCUGUGUGGGAACUUGAAGAGAUAAAAGGGCAUCCUUGAAAGAGAACCUCGUGCUUUGCAUCUCAACUGCCUCUGACACAAGUUUCCACACAGGUCCAAGCCGCAAAACAAUACCGUCUCACAACAGAGCAGAGCUUUACAGCUUAUAAAACAUUCUGGGAAUAUUAGAAUAUUAACACAUGAAGAUUUUUGGGUCCUUCAGCACGUUAGAUAUGACCUGGGACAUAGAGGACUCUUAAGAAAAGAGAAAUUGGGCAUCCACAUGUGGAAAAAAAAACUCAAUCUCAACCUCAAGCCUUAGACAAAACUCACAGUGGAUCACAGAUCUGAAUGGAAAAUGUAAGGCUACAACACUUUCAGAAGACAUAGGGAGAGAAUCUUUGUUACCCUGGGUUAU
rnacentral:lncRNA from 1 species